UUUUACUAGAGUGUGGCAAGGGACCUCCGGAAGAGCAGUCAGUGCUCUUAACUGCUGAGUCAACUCUCCAGGCCAGCUGUCAUCUUUCUAAGUCAAGACACAUGAGAGGUGCCUGUAGAAGUCAGAAGUUGCCAGAGCCCCUGGAACCUGUGUUAUAGCAGUUGUGAGCAGCCAUAUUAGAUGCUGGGAACUGAAGCCGUGUCCUCUACAAAACAGCAAAUCAAAUCUGAGGAACUGAUAGCUUGCCCAGGGUGCAGAGUAAACAUGACUGAAUUGGAAACAAAUGCAAAGCUGGAAGGCUCAGAAAAUUCCAUAUACCCUCUCAAACUCCAACCAACACAAAGUAAGAAAGAAAUCUUGCAGGCAACUCAACAUUUCCAGAGGGGAAGAGAAUUUGC
rnacentral:lncRNA from 1 species